GACGUAGGGUGCAAGCGUUGUCCGGAUUUAUUGGGCGUAAAGAGCUCGUAGGCGGCUCGUCGCGUCGACCGUGAAAAACCUACCGCUUAACGGUGGGUUUGCGGUCGAUACGGGCGGGCUAGAGUUCGGUAGGGGAGACUGGAAUUCCUGGUGUAGCGGUGAAAUGCGCAGAUAUCAGGAGGAACACCGGUGGCGAAGGCGGGUCUCUGGGCCGAUACUGACGUGAGGAGCGAAAAGCGUGGGGGAGCGAACAGG
rnacentral:rRNA from 1 species